CCUACGGGAGGCGGCAGUGGGGAAUUUUGGACAAUGGGCGAAAGCCUGAUCCAGCAAUGCCGCGUGAGUGAAGAAGGCCUUCGGGUUGUAAAGCUCUUUUGUCAGGGAAGAAACGGUGCGGGCUAAUAUCCCGCACUAAUGACGGUACCUGAAGAAUAAGCACCGGCUAACUACGUGCCAGCAGCCGCGGUAAUACGUAGGGUGCAAGCGUUAAUCGGAAUUACUGGGCGUAAAGCGUGCGCGGGCGGUUUUGUAAGUUUGUCGUGAAAGCCCCGGGCUCAACCUGGGAAUUGCGAUGAAGACUGCAAGGCUUGAAUCUGGCAGAGGGGGGUAGAAUUCCACGUGUAGCAGUGAAAUGCGUAGAGAUGUGGAGGAACACCGAUGGCGAAGGCAGCCCCCUGGGUCAAGAUUGACGCUCAUGCACGAAAGCGUGGGGAGCAAACAGGAUUAGAUACCCUGGUAGUCCACGCCCUAAACGAUGUCUACUAGUUGUCGGGUUUUAAUUAACUUGGUAACGCAGCUAACGCGUGAAGUAGACCGCCUGGGGAGGUACGGUCGCGAGAAUUAAACUUAACUAAGAAGUUAGACGGCGUGAGACGUCGCCGACGGACGACGACGAGGGAGGUUAGG
rnacentral:rRNA from 1 species